GCUGGACCUCAUUUCUGACAUAUCCAAGAAUGAGGAUGUGAGCACAGGAGUCAGAGAAUACUAUCGAACAUUGAAGACUGCAGAAACUUCCAGUUGUGACAAUUUCUAAUUUAACAUUCACAUUCCUAAGACUUAGAUACUAUAAGCCAGAAGAAAAGAGGUAGCACCUCCUAGUGAUGUGGAACUCCAUCAUCAGAAAGCAGGAAUCAGGAGGCAACAAGGUAUGGAUCUUCUAAACUGUCUGCAGAGAAAGUUCCACAUAUUGGACAGACCCACCUGCUGAAUGCACUGCUGUCAUUCAGACUCAUUCCUUUCCAGACACAUUUUGAAGUCAUAGCCAGCACGGUAUCUCAUUGGUCUACAGCUUUCCUUGUCUUACCUAUACUCUCAAAUAAAAACAGCAUUUCAAUCUUU